AGUGAACGCUGGCGGUAGGCCUAACACAUGCAAGUCGAACGGCAGCACAGUAAGAGCUUGCUCUUACGGGUGGCGAGUGGCGGACGGGUGAGGAAUACAUCGGAAUCUACUUUUUCGUGGGGGAUAACGUAGGGAAACUUACGCUAAUACCGCAUACGACCUACGGGUGAAAGCAGGGGAUCUUCGGACCUUGCGCGAUUGUAUGAGCCGAUGUCGGAUUAGCUAGUUGGCGGGGUAAAGGCCCACCAAGGCGACGAUCCGUAGCUGGUCUGAGAGGAUGAUCAGCCACGCUGGAACUGAGACACGGUCCAGACUCCUACGGGAGGCAGCAGUGGGGAAUAUUGGACAAUGGGCGCAAGCCUGAUCCAGCCAUACCGCGUGGGUGAAGAAGGCCUUCGGGUUGUAAAGCCCUUUUGUUGGGAAAGAAAAGCAGCAGGUUAAUACCCCGCUGUUCUGACGGUACCCAAAGAAUAAGCACCGGCUAACUUCGUG
rnacentral:rRNA from 1 species